rnacentral:rRNA from 1 species
AUGAGCGUGCCGCACCUGUUCCGGUGUCCGAUCAGCCUGGACAUCUUCACGGACCCGGUGACGCUGUGCACGGGGCAGACGUACGACCGCCAGUGCAUCGAGCGGUGGCUCGCCGACGGCCACCGCACCUGCCCCGUCACAAUGCAGGCCCUCGGCGACGGCGACACCACCGUGCUAGUGCCCAACCGCACCCUGCGCCACCUCAUCGAGCGCUGGCUCUCCGCCGCCACCGACCACAGCCUCCCGGAGUCGGCGGAUGACGAUCCGUCGCUCGCGGCGCUCAAGCGGUGCCUCCAGUCCGACGCCACCUCCGCCGCCGCCAAGAUCGGCGCGCUCAAGAAGGUCUUGGCGCUGGCGUCCGAGUCCGACGUCGGCCGCGCGUGCAUGCUGCAGCUGGGGUUCCUGAGCGUGCUACUGCCGCUCGUCUUCCACGCCGCGCCGGCCGCGCCAGCGGAGCGCCACGCGGAGGCGGAGGAGCUCGCGCUGCAGUGCGCGCUCAGCCUCAUGCCGUCGAACGCCGCUGCGCCGCAGCUCGACUGCCUCAACAUGCUCAAGAAGGAGGAACACCUGGCGUCCUUCGUCCGGCUGCUGGGGCGAGGCAGCGGCCGGGCCAAGGCAGGCCUGUGCCGCCUCCUGGAGACCGUCGCCACGGCCGCGGCGACCCGGGACCUGGCGCUCGUCGUGGCCGCCUCGCCGCGCGUGUGGCAGGCGCUCCUGCCGCUCCUGCAGCAGCACGCCGGCCCGGCCCCCGACGCGCGCGCCUCGGAGCCGGCGCGUGGCAGCGCCAUCCACCACGGCGCGGUCGGCGCGCUCUUCAGGCACCUGUCGUGGUGGGCGUACGUCAAGGGCGGCGGGGCCGUGUCCAGCGCGCUGGCGGCGGUGGAGGCGCUGGCGGAGACGGAGGCCGGGCGCAGGGCGGUGGCGCACGCGCCCGGCGCAACGCGCAUUCUCGUGAGGCACGUGUUCAUGAUGUCGUCGAGCAACGACGGGAGCGAGCACGCGGCGGCGGCGCUGCUGGCCGUGUGCAGGGAGUCGCGGGCGGCGCGGAGCGAGGCGGUGGGCGCCGGGGUGGUGACGCAGCUGCUGCUGCUGCUCCAGAGCCAGUGCGGCGCCAGGGCUAAGGCCAAGGCGAGGGCGCUGCUGAAGCUGCUCAAAUCCAGGUGA